UGCCUGCCGGAAUGCACCGAAACGCUGCUAGCACCGAAAAGUCCGACUGGGGAUCCCCAGUCGGACUUUUUGGUGCAUGCAUCGUGCCGCAGUCGCCUGACGCGCGCUUUUUUGCACCGUUUUCCGCUUGCAUGCAGACAUCAAGGAAAUUUUUUCCCUUUUCAAAGCAAUUGCUCUGAAAAAAGGGGACUUAGAAAAUUUUCAUCUCGUUUGGGACUUAGAAAAAUUUUUGCGUGGGACAUUUAACUUAGAAAAAAUUUAUUCAUGCCAAAUUAUUAAUAUUAUAUUUUAUAUUAUUCAUUGAAUACUUUUAAGUUAUAGAAGUGUCAAUUUAAACAAAUUGUUUAAAUACAAAAUAAAAACAAAAAAUUUUAAAUUGAACUAAAAUAGUUUAAUUUUAUUAUUAAAAUAAAAAAUAAAGGAGUAAAAACAAAAGUUACACACCUCAAGCAAAAAAAAAAAAUUGAAUAAUAAUGUAAAUCUUAAAAAUAAAUACAUUUCUUAAUAGUGAAUUGUGUAAAUACAGAAAACAAAAAAAUAUAAUAUAAAAAAUGGGUGAAAGGGUUGCCAUCGCGUGGGCGAUAUUUUUCUAAGUGCGGGAAUCGAUAGUAGCUUUAAAGUAUGGCAACUCCCCCACCCUAUUUAUUCUAGUGCAUUUAGUUGAAUUGAACGUGUUGAAUUGCAUUUAACAAAAGAAAUAAUCAACAAGGAGUGAUUUUUCCACCUACGACGACUUCAUUAGGGCCAUCCGGGAUGGAAUAAGGAGAGCCAAAAAUAAAAAUUAUAAGGAAAAAUC